rfam:Solemya velum gill symbiont strain WH SV_sym_Scaffold_2, whole genome shotgun sequence.
GUCCCCUUCGUCUAGAGGCCUAGGACACCGCCCUUUCACGGCGGUAACAGGGGUUCGAAACCCCUAGGGGACG